CGCUGGCGGCGUGCUUAACACAUGCAAGUCGAGCGAGGGGCUUCGGCUCCUAGCGGCGAACGGGUGAGUAACACGUGGGCAACCUGCCCCGAGCUCUGGAAUAACUUCGGGAAACCGGGGCUAAUGCCGGAUAUGACACUGCCGGGCAUCUGGUGGUGUGGAAAGAUUUAUCGGCUCGGGAUGGGCCCGCGGCCUAUCAGCUUGUUGGUGGGGUGAUGGCCUACCAAGGCGACGACGGGUAGCCGGCCUGAGAGGGCGACCGGCCACACUGGGACUGAGACACGGCCCAGACUCCUACGGGAGGCAGCAGUGGGGAAUAUUGCGCAAUGGGCGAAAGCCUGACGCAGCGACGCCGCGUGGGGGAUGACGGCC
rnacentral:rRNA from 1 species